rnacentral:rRNA from 1 species
AACGAACGCUGGCGGCAUGCCUAACACAUGCAAGUCGAACGAGACCUUCGGGUCUAGUGGCGCACGGGUGCGUAACGCGUGGGAACCUGCCCUUAGGUUCGGAAUAACUCCCCGAAAGGGGUGCUAAUACCGGAUAAUGUCUUCGGACCAAAGAUUUAUCGCCUUUGGAUGGGCCCGCGUUGGAUUAGCUAGUUGGUAGGGUAAAAGCCUACCAAGGCGACGAUCCAUAGCUGGUCUGAGAGGAUGAUCAGCCACACUGGGACUGAGACACGGCCCAGACUCCUACGGGAGGCAGCAGUGGGGAAUAUUGGACAAUGGGCGAAAGCCUGAUCCAGCAAUGCCGCGUGAGUGAUGAAGGCCUUAGGGUUGUAAAGCUCUUUUACCCGGGAUGAUAAUGACAGUACCGGUAGAAUAAGCUCCGGCUAACUCCGUG